rnacentral:rRNA from 1 species
GUGUCAGCAGCCGCGGUAAUACGGAGGGUGCGAGCGUUGUUCGGAAUCAUUGGGCGUAAAGCGCGUGUAGGCGGGCGGGCAAGUCAGGUGUGAAAUCCCGAGGCUCAACCUCGGAAUUGCGCCUGAAACUGCUUGUCUUGAGUACGGGAGGGGGAAGCGGAAUUCUUGGUGUAGGGGUGAAAUCCGUAGAUAUCAGGAGGAACACCGAUGGCGAAGGCAGCUUCCUGGACCAGUACUGACGCUGAGACGCGAAAGCGUGGGGAGCAAACAGGAUUAGAUACCCUGGUAGUCC